UCGUUAGAAUAUCCAGUAGAACGA
rnacentral:siRNA from 1 species